CAAACUUCAGAUAAAUUAUAUUAUGCUCAAAAAGUGAAGUUCACCCUAAAAAAGGUUGAGCACGCACGCUUACACCCUUGUUAUGUCCAGAGAAAGAGAGGUGGAGAAUCAGCUGCACCCUUAUCUCUACAAAUCAAAACAGGGCCAGUAUACUAAUGAAGAAAAAUUUCCUAUUAAAUAUAAGACUUAUAUAUAUAUAAUAAUAUACAUAAUAAUUUAUCUAACUAGCUAGCUAAACAUUCCAAUGAUGAUCAACACAAAUCAUGAGCUGUCUGAAUCCGAUUAUUUGGCGGCUUCCCAAUUUCCAGACAACCAAUUGGUGGAAGUGUUGGAGUUUUCAGUUCACCAUAAGUCUUCCAACAGAAUGGAUCAUAAAGGUGAUACUUUUCUUGAACUGGUUCUAACUCAACACUUGUUAAUGAAACAUCAACACAUGGCAAGCUAUCACUACAUGCAAAGUGAACUGGCUUAACUGUGUAUGUUCCCUUUAUGUUUUCAUAGUUGAUUCCUGAGAGUGAUACUGCUGAUGUUUGGUUUGUACAACUUCUUUUAUCGCAGUAGAAUUGGUCGAUUACAAUUGGGAGUUGAACUUCGGAAACUUUUAUGUUUGAGAAUAGUACUCCUUGUACUGAGCCUGAUCCACCCUGCAUAAAAUGUUACUUAAUUUUAAUGUUUGAGACACAAGCUCUGGUAUUAUCCUUUCCUAGACUUCCAAUGCUGAUUCCAUGCCCUGGUCCGCAAUUGACAUUAUGUACAUAUACAUUUGAGCAUCCAGUUUGUAUUGAAAUACAGUCAUCUCCUGCACAACAAUUUAAAUUACUAUUAAUUGAAUUGACACUAAUAGUCAUUUUACACCCGUCUUUAGGGAAAUUUAAACUGUCUCACUGUGCAAAUAGUUAAAAUUUAAACCAACACUUAGCCAACUUGAACUAUUUAUGCA